rfam:Rhodobacteraceae bacterium HLTCCA09 ITZX_scaf_322, whole genome shotgun sequence.
GCAGGGAGUAGAAGCUGUCAGCGCCGCGCGCGGCGCAGGUCAUUGCUCCGACA